UACGAGGGGGGCAAGCGUUGUUCGGAAUUACUGGGCGUAAAGCGUGCGCAGGCGGUUCGUUGUGUCGGCGGUGAAAGCCCCGGGCUUAACCUGGGAAUGGCCGUUGAAACUGGCGAACUGGAGUGUGGCAGAGGGGGGUGGAAUUCCGCGUGUAGCAGUGAAAUGCGUAGAGAUGCGGAGGAACACCGAUGGCGAAGGCAGCCCCCUGGGCUAACACUGACGCUCAGGCACGAAAGCGUGGGGAGCAAACAGG
rnacentral:rRNA from 1 species